CCGGGCCGUCGCCGGAGAACGGCUGGCCAGCGUCGUGGGGCGCGCUCCUCGGAAAAGUAGAGGAAGCGCACAGGUGGCUGAGCAUACAAACUGAAGAAAAAAUUGAAAUGCCAUUUUAAAAACUUGAAAGAAACCUGCCAGCUUUGAGAUCCUGCAUUUGAGAGCCAGCAUUGGCUGGAUACACCAUGCAAGUGAUAGAGCAUUUGGACCAGGAAGAGAAUUUGGAAGUAAAGGGAAUUGAUGUAGCACAGUGUUCAGUUUUAAGAGCUUCAUCUAGGUGAAGACUCAUAAGUAAUAUACAUAUGGUAUAGCCAAGGUCUUUUAUGAAGGAAAAGUAAUCACAGACAAAAAUUGUCAAAGAAGAAAAUGAAAAAAAGAAGCAAUUAAGAAGUUUUAGAACAGGGCUGGCAUUUUUCUCUUGUUUUUAUUGUUUGGAUUUCACUUUAUUUGUAUUAAACAAUUUUAAGAGGCAAA
rnacentral:lncRNA from 1 species